CACGCAGGCGGUCAUACAAGUCAGCUGUUAAAUGCAUGGGCUUAACCGAUGCAUGCGGUUGAAACUGUAUGGCUAGAGUACUGGAGAGGUAAGCGGAAUUCCCGGUGUAGCGGUGAAAUGCGUAGAUAUCGGGAAGAACACCAGUGGCGAAGGCGGCUUACUGGCCAGUAACUGACGCUGAGGUGCGAAAGCCAGGGAGCGAACC
rnacentral:rRNA from 1 species